rnacentral:rRNA from 1 species
UGAGGAAUAUUGGUCAAUGGGUGCAAGCCUGAACCAGCCAUCCCGCGUGAAGGACGACUGCCCUAUGGGUUGUAAACUUCUUUUGUAUAGGGAUAAACCUACCCUCGUGAGGGUAGCUGAAGGUACUAUACGAAUAAGCACCGGCUAACUCCGUGCCAGCAGCCGCGGUAAUACGGAGGGUGCAAGCGUUAUCCGGAUUUAUUGGGUUUAAAGGGUCCGUAGGCGGACUUAUAAGUCAGUGGUGAAAGCCUGUCGCUUAACGAUAGAACUGCCAUUGAUACUGUAAGUCUUGAGUAUAGUUGAGGUAGCUGGAAUAAGUAAUGUAGCGGUGAAAUGCAUAGAUAUUACUUAGAACACCAAUUGCGAAGGCAGGUUACCAAGAUAUAACUGACGCUGAGGGACGAAAGCGUGGGGAGCGAACA